rnacentral:rRNA from 1 species
GAUGAACGCUAGCGGGAGGCUUAAUACAUGCAAGUCGAGGGGUAACAGGUUCUUCGGAACGCUGACGACCGGCAAACGGGUGAGUAACGCGUACGCAAUCUACCUCUUACAAAAGGAUAGCCCCGGGAAACUGGGAUUAAUACUUUAUAAUAUUAAGAGAAGGCAUCUUCUUUUAAUUAAAACUCCGGUGGUAAGAGAUGAGCGUGCGUCCCAUUAGGUAGUUGGUAAGGUAACGGCUUACCAAGCCGACGAUGGGUAGCUGGUCUGAGAGGAUGAUCAGCCACACGGGCACUGAGACACGGGCCCGACUCCUACGGGAGGCAGCAGUAGGGAAUAUUGGACAAUGGGGGAAACCCUGAUCCAGCCAUCCCGCGUGCAGGAUUAAGGCCCUAUGGGUUGUAAACUGCUUUUAUUAGGGAAGAAACCUUCGGAUUUUUCUGAAGCUGACGGUACCUAAUGAAUAAGCACCGGCUAACUCCG